AAAGUCGUAACAAGGUUUCCGUAGGUGAACCUGCGGAAGGAUCAUUAAUGAUUACAGGAUGUGCUGGCAUCAAUCUGAUGCAUGUGUCACUCCAAAAUUAUUAUCACAUCCAUUGUGCACCAGUUGCUUUGAAGGAUAAGAUUUGUACAACCUGAAUUAAGUUUCAAGUUUUCUUUACCUUCAAUAGCAUUUUACAUUAUAUGCCUCAUUUCUUCAUGAAUGAUCAUCUUAACAAAAAACAACUUUCAACAAUGGAUCUCUUGGCUCUC
rnacentral:misc_RNA from 1 species